AGAGCCCAGCCCCGCCGCCGCACCUGGUGGAGGCGGCGCGGCGGAGAUUCGGAGGCAUCAGCAGCUCAGCCUGACGCCCAGGAUCCCACCCCUUGUCAAAGACCAGGCCGUGGAAGCCAUGUUCCCACCAGCCAGGGGGAAGGAGCUGCUCUCGUUUGAGGAUGUGGCGAUGUACUUCACCAGAGAGGAGUGGGGCCACCUCGACUGGGGUCAGAAGGACCUCUACCGAGAUGUGAUGCUGGAGAACUACAGGAACAUGGUCUUGCUGGGUAGGACACAGCUUGAAGAUUGGGCUUUGUCUGUGUUCUGAGUGUCUGUGCAAGCCCUUAGUCCCUUAUCUGCAAUUCCAGAAUCAGAAAAAGUGCUGAAAACUGAAAGUUUUUUUCAUAACUUGUGUGGCUACAAGCCCUGACCAGACAUCACCACAGUGAAACCUGACUUCACCCCAUAGGAAACCAUUUAUUGUCUUUAUUUUUCCAACUUGGUGUGCAUAUCUGUAUACCCAACUUCAGAAAUAACAGUGUAGGCCGGGUGUGGUGGCUCACGCCUACAAUCCUAGCACUUUGGGAUUCUGAGGCAGGUGGGUCACCUGAGGUCAGUAGUUUGAGACCAGCCUGGCCAAUAUGGUAAAACCCAUCUCUACUUAAGAUACGAAAAUUAGCCGGUUGUGGUGGUGCACGCUUGUAGUCCCAGUUACUUGGGAGGCUGAGGCAGGAGAAUCGCUUGAACCCAGGAGGGAGAGGUUGCACUGAGCCGAGAUCAUGCCAGUGCAUUCCAGCCUGGGCGACAGAGUGAGACUCCGUCCCAAAACAAAACAAAACAACAACAAAAAUAACUGUAUUUGAGGGCACCACUCCAAACCCUACUGGGGAUGAUACGUUAUGUAAAAUAUUUACACCAGGUCACCUUUCUGAAAUUGGAAAAAUUCUGACUCCUGAAACACAUCUGGUCCUAAGGGUUUCACAUAAGGAACUGGGGACAGCAAAUAGUCGUGUUGUGUUAGGGCUCAGACAGAGACACUUCAUGCGUUCUUCACUCUCACCCCAUGUUCCUCAUCUGUAAGACCUGCAGGAGUUGAGAAUUACGGUAGAUUUACAUUCCAAAGGCUCACUUCUUAUGCUCUUGAAAGUCUUUUUCUUUCUUCUCUCUGGAAAUGGGUAACUUCUUGGUGUGUAGCAUUAGUGGGUGCUCAGGAAAUGAUUUUAAACCAACUUCAUUUCUGAACCUUCACUGCUUCCAUCUUUUCAGGAGCCUACCUUGUCCUAUUCCACUGUAGUCUCCUACUGUGGGAAUUGCCUUGCUAAAUAGUUUUCUUUCCAGGACCACAUGUUUAACCCCUGCACUGACACUCUUAGCACAGAGUCUUGACCACCUCUUGUGGGAUCGUCCACCCACCUCUGGAUUUUUAUAAUUUUAAUGUUCCCUUUAAAAGCAUUACAAGAGCAUACAUAAGUACAUGGAAGGCAUAGAAAAGGAGGAGAAGAGGAAAGUGUUCAUGAGUAACACUGUUAAUAUUUUGGAAGAUUUCCUUCCAAUCUUUUUUUCCUAUGCCUUUACAAAAGUAGCUGAACAUAGUCUAUGUGUAAUCCUGUAAUCUGUUUUAAACUUAACAUUAUUGUAUCAGUGUUUCCCCACAGAAUCAGUAAACGAGCAUAAUAUAAUUCCAUUGUGUGAUCCAUAGUACUAUUUCAUUGUUUUUCCAUGUGGGAACAUUCAGCUUGACUUUGUUUUUGUUCGUUGGUUUGCUUGUGUAUUUAUAAUGUUUGAAUAGAUGUUUCUAAGU